rfam:Stegodyphus mimosarum contig89409, whole genome shotgun sequence.
AAAAAGGCCCUUUUCAGGGCCACCAAAUAAUAAUUUUAAAAAAAAG